CGAUGUUAUCGAUGAGUGUAAGCUAUUUUACUUUGCUGGGCAAGAGACUACUUCAGUUUUGCUUCUUUGGACAAUGGUUUUGUUGAGCAAGCAUCAAGACUGGCAAGCACAUGCAAGAGAAGAGGUUUUGCAAGUCUUUGGUGAUAAGAAACCUGACUUCGAUGGAUUGAAUCGCCUCAAAAUCGUAAGUAUAUAUAAUUUUGAGAUUUCAUUGUGAUCAACAUUUUCAUCAUACAAUUAAUCUUAAUAAUUCAAAUAAUGAGAAAUAUCAACAGCUAAAUAAUGUGAUAGUUUCAUAUUGUCUAUGCUGCCACAGCAGUUGAGAUUAAAAUGCUGAGAUUGUAGGCGAGUUCUCUAGUAUUAAUCAUUUUAAUCAUGUGUAUGAAUGUUACAGGUUCAAAUGAUCUUCUACGAGGUACUCAGGCUGUACCCACCUUUGCCUGUACUUUCUCGAUACGUUGAAAAGGAAACGAAAAUCGGGGACUUGAUAUUACCAGCUGAAUCAGUGAUCGCAUUGCAAACUCUCUUGGUUCACCAUGAUAAAAAACUUUGGGGUGACGAUGCAAAAGAGUUUAAACCUGAGAGGUUUUCAGAAGGAAUUUCAAAGGCAACAAAAAAUCAAGUUUCUUAUUUCCCAUUUGCAUGGGGUCCUAGAAUAUGCAUUGGGCAAAACUUUGCCCUGGUUGAAGCAAAAAUGGCCAUGGCAAUGAUUCUGCAGAAUUUCUCCUUCGAGUUGUCUGCAUCCUAUGUUCAUGCUCCUCAUGCGUUUAUAUUCCUCCAGCCACAACAUGGAGCUCACCUGAUUUUACGGAAAUUAUAGAGCUUUAUAAACUCUCAGUUGCAAAAUAAAAUUCUUAUGAUCGGAAAACAAUGUAUCAGUUAUGAUAAUAUAGUAUAAAUUUGAUAAAUUAAUACUUGAUAAAUUGAUAAUUUUGAUUAAAUAAUAAUUUUUUGGAUCCCAACUUGGGUUGAUCCUAAGUUGGGCAUGCAGUAAAUUAAUCAUUUGAUAAAUUAUAAGAUAACAAAAUUUUUUAAAAAAAUUAUUUUCUUAUAAGACACAUGUAUUAUAUAAAUUAAUAGAGAAGAUAUGUGUAGUUAUAUGAAGAGAAAUUCUAUAUGAACAUCAUAAAAUAUUGUUGAUUAUUCCAAGCAAUCAUAAGGAAUAGCCCAUAGAUAUCCGUAUAAAUGAGUUCUAACAUGUCCAAAGUCUUGUUGGCAUUAAAUCUCCUUUUAUUGGCUUGUUUCCCUUUUAUACAAUCAACAUAAGCAUUAAAAUCUAUAAAAUCUAAGGAGUAAAGAAUUUCAUCUAACCCAGGUCUUCUAUUCUCCAUCUGGAGAUAUAACCUAAUCUCUUUGUGCCUUAACAUAGCCGAAUUCUAAUUAGUUAAUUUUCUCUUUAUAUCUCGUGUACUUAGUUGUAGGUAUUCAUUAAAUAAAGCAAUUGUGUCAGUCAAAUAAAGAUUGUCAUGACCUGAGAAAGAACCGGAACCAACCAAUUUUGAGUUAUGCAACAAGCUGAAAUUUCUAUUCCCAAAUGAAUGAGAAAAAUCAGAUUUGUCCAAAGUAGGAAUAAAAAUCAAGUUUCAUAUAAAAGAAGGUACCAUGAAUGUUUCAUCAAAAUCCAAAUAGAAUCCAGUUUUUAAUAAUUAUCUACAUUUUUCAAUUGCUUCAACUUCAACCGUCUUGUCAUUACCUACAUAGAUAUAUCUUUCAUCAUCAUUGAGCUUUUAACAAUUUCGGCAACACUAUAUAGAGACACUUAUGUGAGUUUUGCACUAGAAUAUAUCCACCAUGUAUGAGUAGGUACUAAAGUUAAAUUAACCUUAGAACAAACCAAAUAAAAAAUGUUUUUUCUUAUGCCCUUUAGCUCCAGAGAAAGAAACAAUGAGUACUUUUUAGAUCAGUUAGUUAUUAUUAUUUUUUUUUGAGAUGUUGUAUUUACAUAUACCUUAUCGUUCUUUUUUUUUCUUUCCCUUGCCCAUAUACCUUAUUGAAAUUAAACUUGUAAUAGUGUAUUUAUUGCUGUUUUUUUUCACUUUUAACAAACCUAUUUUUAAUGUUCGCAAAGAACUCUGCAGCCGUAGUUAUCUUUUCAAACAUAGAGCCCCUAAAUGCAUUUAGAAUGGUUUUCUUUGUGAUAAUUAUACACACACGAUUUGAUUCUCCCAACUUUUCAAAUCCUUUUUUAUCAUUAAAAGUAGAGCUGGCAAAAUUUGACACGACCCGAUUACCCGAUACGAACACGACAUAAAUAAAUGGGUAUGGGUCGUCAAAUUUAACACGAUUAUUAAAUGGGUCGGGUCCGGGUCAACACGAUUUUUUUCUGUGUCGGGUUUGGGUUAAAAUUCUUGACCCAUUUACCCGAUCAAUGACCCGAUUAUAUUUUCUAUUUUAAAAUAAUUUACAUAUUCUUAUAAUUAAAACUCAAAUAUUAGAGAUAAUUUUUUUUUAUUCUUUAAAAUGAUGAAUAUAUGAAUAUAAACACAGUGUUUUAUUUAUAAAAUUUUACAUACAUUUAGAGCUUCAAUAGUGUAAAUGUGUAAAAAUUGAUAGACAUGUAUAUUUUAUAAUAUUGAUAUAUAAUAUUAUAUAUAUAUAUAUAUAAUUAAAACCUCAAUAGUGUAAAUGUGUAAUAUAUUGGUAGAUAUAUAUAUUUUAUAAUAUCGAUAAAUUAUGUAUGUAUGUAUUUAUGUACAUACGUAUGUAUGAUAGUGUGUAAAUAUUUUAUGUAACUUUUGUUCAAUAUAUAGAUAUUAAACGGGUUAUUGGGUAACCCGAUUAUUUUUCCGUGUCGGGUUUGGGUUUCAAUAUUUUGACACGAUUAUUAAAUGGGUCAGGUUUGGGUCGACCUAAAUUUGACACGACACGAAACUGACACGACACGAACACGACCCGAUGACCCGUUUUGCCAGUUCUAAUUAAAAGUACUCUCAUGCGUAAGAGAUGGGGGAGAAUCAACCUCUAGCGCAAAGUCGAGAUCCAUGACUGUGAGAACUAUUAAAAGAUUCUUUUAUCAUGACUUGAAAUUAAAACCAUUCAGCGUAGGAAUAAAAUUGAUGUUGGCAGUGAUAUUAGUAAGAGUCGUCACUUAACAUAGUGUAGUAACUUGUCAGUUCUUUCACCUUAAACAAAACUAGUUACUGCCCAAGAUUUCUUAGAUCAGAUCAAACACAAGUUGCACAAUGCUUACGAUCGAAUAGAAUCUGUCACAGCUUAAGUAAUCAAAUUGGAUUUAACCAAGCACCAGAAAGAACCAAGAAUCAAAAGAUAAAACCAACCAAGAACCAGAAAGAUUACGUGGUUCAACAGAGCACAAAGCACUCUGUUUACAUCCACGGGAGAAGUCUUUGAUGAGCUUUUAUUGAUUCUACAAUGGAGAUCUUACACAGAGCCUUUACAAGAUUCUAUUCGAGAAUAAGAUUCACUCUUUCUCUCUCUAGAACUCUCUCUACAAGACUCACUCAGAACCAUGCUUUGCUGACUCUCAUUCUCUGCUUUUAUAAUCUGUUGCAGAGUCCAAGAAGGAAUUUCCAGAUCGUUCAGUUUGUUAACACGUAGAUAACAAACUUAACGAAUGCUUCCUUACGUGGUCACUUAAGUGGCUUAUCUAAAACGCGCCUCAGAUACGUCGUUUAGAUGCAUUUAAUUUCUGCUGAGAGCAGCUGAGCUGCACGUGAGUUUCUUAAGCAAUUAGAAGCCUUAAAACGUUGCCGUAUUUCUGAAUUCAACUUAGAUUCAUUUCUCAGCUUCACACAUAGUAUAACAUACCAAUAAAACAAACUCAUAUAAGUUUCAAAACAAAAAUAAAUUUAAAUAAAGGUAAACCCCUUCUUAAGAUAUCAGACACUUUAUUAAUAUUUCAUCUUUGGACAAAUAUAUUAACUUGUAAGUGAUAUCUUACUGCAGUAAUCAAACAUUGAUAAUAAGAACAUGUCCAAUAAUAAAUCUUCCUUUGAGGCGAUUUAUUGUUCACAUAUAAAACUGAAUAAUCAUUACAUGUUUAUUACUACAGGUGCAUAUGUAAUUAUGUUAAAUAUGAACCUUCCUUUGGGUCGAUCGAUGUUCACAAAAAUUACACAUAUACAACUAUUUAUAUUCCAAAACAAAUUAAUUUCCACGAGAGACGUCACUUUGAUAUGUAAUUCUGUUAAAUAUGGACAUUCCUGUGGGUUGCUCGAUAUUCAGAAAAAUUAAACAUAUACAACAAAUUAAUUUCCGCAAGAGACGUCACUUUGAUAACAUGUUCCUUCAAUUAAUUCAUCUCAAAUUAUAAAUACACAUACCAAUAUUUAAAUUUAAAAUUGGAACAAAAAUUACUAUUAAGAAAAAAAUUUAGGUCAAAGUUAAAGUCAAUGGUCAAUGAUCAACUGUUGACUAUUCCCCAUUAACUGGUCGAGAUUGGAUAAAGUUGGUAUCCAAAUCCGACUAAACCAGCCUAAUCAGAUUCCGUUCUCCCUUUUUUUAUGUUCAUGACGCUGCUUUUUCUCUAACUACUAUUGUGGCGUGGCCGUGCCUUGCCUGAGCUGCAGCUACUGGGCACAAAAACUUGAAACAGAAAAGGAAAAAAUUAAAAUUCCAAUUUUUUUAAUAUUAUUUUAUUGAGUUUCUUGAUUUAAUUUUCUUAAUAUCAGAAGACAAGCAUCAAUUGUUUUCAAUGAUUUAACAUGAAGAGAUUCUGAUACCGUUUGUUAGAAAAUAAUCAAGUUUUGACGAAAAUUGUCACCUAAAUUACAGGAACAUUCAUGUUGUAUCACUAAAAAUCAAUAAUUGAAUAUGCGGAAUUAUAUUUAAAUCUAUAAUGAUUAGUUGCUCUUUAGAGUCGUGUGAUUUGCCUUCAGAUCAACAUGUUUUCCAUAGAGAAUCCUUUAAAUUUCUUUGUAUAUUCUUUCUGAUAAUGGGAUGUCUGAAAAUAAUAGAAUGUACAUAUGACUUGGGGACUACAACUACUUAUAUUAAUAACUUUUUUUAUUAUCUUUAGGUAUUCCUAUUUCAGCCUGUCAUAGAAAUAGAAAUUACAUUAAGUCUUUACACAUUAAAGACUCAUACUACAUUAAAUAUAUUAAAGUCUAAAUUACCGAAAAUCUUAAUAGAUUAUUAUUAAUUAUGGUUUAACCUUAUAUGACAGUUCGUAAUAAAUAAUCAUUCACAUAUAAGCCCAACAUUGGAUUAAGGAUCCAACAACUCUCCUUCCCAUGUCAUCAAACACCUUCCAUUAAAAGAGCAUAACCUUUUAGACAACUAAAAGGUAAAGCUCUUCUUCACCAAGCUACCACAAGAGUAAACCGAAAGCAAUCCAAAAAUCAAAAUGAACCCAUCGGUCCAUCACCAAAUUGACAUAUAAUUCUUCACAGAACUAGCCCUAAUUGAAGGAAAUUAAAAUAGAAUCAAACCCAAAUUUGCAUUUUUUAUGCUUGUUUUAGAGAAGGAAAACAAUGUUUUUGAUGUGAAAUUUUUUAAAUUUAAAAAAGCAUUUGGUAGCUUGUUUUAAAAGAUUAUAUGAAAAUGAAUCAAAUUAUAACUUUCAUCAUUCAAUACAAUAUAAAAAGUAAUGAGAAUUCGUUUGAUAUAACGUUCAAUAAAACACAUUUUCCAACUAUUCAUCAUUCAAUACAAAUAGUAUUCUUUUUUUUUAUUUUGUCUAUUAUUAUUAUUAUUAUUUUUAAGAAAAUAAAAUACAAAUGAAUCAAAUUAUAACUUUUUUUAACUGUAGUUUAUUUAGGGCAAUUUGAACUUACAAUCCAAAAAAUACUAUAAAAAUGUAAAGUACAGAUUAUUUUCGCAUCCACAUAUGCCUAAUUAUUUACGUGUCAGUAGCAAUGGCCAUCACUUAGAGCAUUGAAGGAUAAAAUAAAAAAAGAGAACAUCAUCCUAUUAGAUAGACGACACAAGUAAAUCACACCAUACUACUUACAGACCAAUUUUUUUACAUUCAUUUAUUCUUUAUUUUUGAUUAAAUAAAAUUAAUUUAUGAUUAUCACUAUAUAUUUUUUUAAUUUAAUAAUUAAAAGCUGGGCACGUAUUAUGUAAAUUACUUUUAUUCAUUAAAAUACUUUUAGGAAGCUCGCAGGGAAAGAGACGGAAUUUUCGUGAAAAAAGAAAGAAAGAACGUGAAAUGAGAUUUGUAUGUGUCCCGAGAAAGACUAGGGAUGGCAAUGGAUUGGAUCUGAUCCAAGAUCCACGUGAUCUAAAUCCAAUCGGAUCAGAUUUGGAUCAGUUUAAAAUGGAUUUGGAUCGGAUUUGGAUAUCAAUGUGCGGAUCUAAGACGAAUCUGGAGCAGAUAUGAAUCUAUCUUAAUAUCUAAAUCCAUAUCCAUAUCCACUCAUCUUUUAAUUUUAUUUUAUUUUAAAAAUUUCUUAACAAUUGUGGAAUUAUAAUGAUAAUAAAUUUUAUUCAUAGCAUAUUAGUAGUAUUUACCAUGCAUUUAAACUCUUAAAACUUAAAGGUUAGUUUUAUAAAUUUAAAGGUCAACCAGCCCCAAAGCAUGUACAUGCAAUAUUCAAAUUGCAAGCCAAGUAAUAUAACCUAGCAAUUUAUUUUAUUAUAUUGGCCAAGUAAUUUUUAAGGAAUAUAGUUAUUCAUAUAUUUAGUCAAAUAUGGUCAUAAUAAAAAUAAUAAAUGACUGAAUAUAAAUCAUAUUUAAUUUAUAUGUCAUUAUCUAAUGUUGUAGGAAUGAGGGUAGGUGUAUCAUGGAUAUUAGAAUGAUGAAGGAGACAAUAGAAUAUUAGAUUGAUCUUACUCCUGCAAUUACUUCUGAAUGAUAUUUUAUUAUCUUUCUUAUUUGUUGUUUUGGUGUAAAAGUAUAAGCUACAAUAUUUAUUAUAUUUCUGAGAAAAAUUAUAUAAUUUAUUUGUUAUCAAUACAUUUUAACCUUCAAUUUUCAAUCUAAAAAAAUAUUAUUUUUAUAUUACUGAAUUUUAGUAUUCAUGAUGGACUAGAGCAGAUUUGGAUUUUAAUUUUUUUUCGGAUUUGGAGCAGAUAUAAAUAUUUAUUUCUUUUUUGGAUCUGGAUAUGGAGAGAAAAAUAUGGAUUCAUGACGGAUCUGGAGCAGAUACGAAUCUUGAUUUUUAUUAUGAAUUUGAAUUUAGAGUAGAUUAGAUCCAACCCAUAUUUAUCCCAUUGCCAUCCCUAAAAAAGACAAACAACUGACAUACAUCCCUUUUUUUUUUUUUUUUUUUUCGUUGUUCGUGGCCACCGAGCAUAUUUUCUUAAUUUUUGUUCUUGAAAACGAAAAACAGCAAGUGAAAAACGUUUCCCAACAAUCCUUAACGUCGCACUCAAUGCAAUAAGUGAGUCUUAAAAUGAUAGCCACGUGAUACCAUGUAAUUGAUUUUUUUUUUGAGAAUACCAUGUAAUUAAUUAAAUACAUAGUUUUUCAACAUUUUUUCUAUGGAAUCAUAUAAGUAGGCCACGUGUCCGGGUGAAAUGUGUCCAAUGCUCACUCACCUGGCUGUCAUUAUAAAAGAAUUAGUCAUUUUAACAUUACGCUCUAUGCAUUAAAUAAACUUUAAAUUGUAAGGAAAUUUCUUUCAUUUCUUUUCUGUCGGAGUACGUGCAUCUAAUCAUUGGGUGCACCUGCGUUGCAACGGUGAUACCAUACCCGUUUUUUGUUUUUUUUUUUUUUUAAUUUUUAAGGAAUAUAGUUAUUCAUAUAUUUAGUCAAAUAUGGUCAUAAUAAAAAUAAUAAAGGACUGAAUAUAAAUCAUAUUUAAUUUAUAUGUCAUUAUCUAAUGUUGUAGGAAUGAGGGUAGGUGUAUCGUGGAUAUUAGAAUGAUGAAGGAGACAAUAGAUUAUUAGAUUGAUCUUACUCCUGCAAUUACUUCUGAAUGAUAUUUUAUUAUCUUUCUUAUUUGUUGUUUUGGUGUAAAAGUAUAUGCUACAAUAUUUAUUAUAUUUCUGAGAAAAAUUAUAUAAUUUAUUUGUUAUCAAUACAUUUUAACCUUCAAUUUUCAAUCUAAAAAAAUAUUAUUUUUAUAUUACUGAAUUUUAGUAUUCAUGAUGGACUAGAGCAGAUUUGGAUUUUAAUUUUUUUUCGGAUUUGGAGCAGAUAUAAAUAUUUAUUUCUUUUUUGGAUCUGGAUAUGGAGAGAAAAAUAUGGAUUCAUGACGGAUCUGGAGCAGAUACGAAUCUUGAUUUUUAUUAUGAAUUUGAAUUUAGAGUAGAUUAGAUCCAACCCAUAUUUAUCCCAUUGCCAUCCCUAAAAAAGACAAACAACUGACAUACAUCCCUUUUUUUUUUUUUUUUUUCCCGUUGUUCGUGGCCACCGAGCAUAUUUUCUUAAUUUUUGUUCUUGAAAACGAAAAACAGCAAGUGAAAAACGUUUCCCAACAAUCCUUAACGUCGCACUCAAUGCAAUAAGUGAGUCUUAAAAUGAUAGCCACGUGAUACCAUGUAAUUGAUUUUUUUUUUGAGAAUACCAUGUAAUUAAUUAAAUACAUAGUUUUUCAACAUUUUUUCUAUGGAAUCAUAUAAGUAGGCCACGUGUCCGGGUGAAAUGUGUCCAAUGCUCACUCACCUGGCUGUCAUUAUAAAAGAAUUAGUCAUUUUAACAUUACGCUCUAUGCAUUAAAUAAACUUUAAAUUGUAAGGAAAUUUCUUUCAUUUCUUUUCUGUCGGAGUACGUGCAUCUAAUCAUUGGGUGCACCUGCGUUGCAACGGUGAUACCAUACCCGUUUUUUGUUUUUUUUUUUUUUUGUGAUUUAACUAAUGUUAAAUUUUAUUGAGCACCAUAUACUCCCUUUUAUUCAUAAGAUAUUACGAAAUAUUAUAGUAUUUUUUACUCACAUAUACUGAUAAAAUUCUAUUUAACACCUUACACUCUUUUUAUUUAUUAUUUUUCAUAAGUAUUAAAGUAUUUAUUUGCUUACAUCCAAGACGUAUUAAUCAACAAAAAAUAGUAAUAUAAAUUAAAAGACAACAAUACCCUCAAAUUUCUCUUUCCUCUCACCUUCGUCUCCAUCAUCAUCACUCCUUAUUAUCAUCUUCACCUACAUCUCCACAUAUUUAAAAAAAAAAAAAAGAUAUUAUUUUGCUUCCAAAUCCAAAAUCGACAAAACCCAUAUAUCUUGUUUUCGAAUCCAAAAUCAACAAAAUCUCUAAGAAGAAAAAGAAGAUAUUAUUCUUUUUUGUUUUAAUCUAAAAUCGGAAAAAUCCCCAAAAAAAAACAUGAUCUUGAGGCUCAAACUAACAUUAAUAAACCUGCUUCAUGCUUCUUAACAUAAAUUAUUUCCAACUUAAAAAAUGCUGCACUACCAAAAGACCUAGCUUUAUUCCAAAAUCUACCCAUCAAAUUCCACUUAUCCAAUAUCUUUCUCCCUACUUCAGCAACAACUGCUGCAAGCAAAGUUCAUUGUUGCCGCGGCUUUUCAUGAGCACAAAAGUACAUGAACCCUGCACCUUAUCAAUUUUCUUCAACAUUUGUCAGGAAGGGUAAUUUUGUCCUUCUAAGAUUUAUAAACAAAUUGUAAAUGAAAGGAGUACAAAGUUGCUUAAGUAAAUUUGAGUAGUUAAAUCAUAAAAGACAAAAGUUAGGGCACGAUACAACUGUUGUAGCAUAGGUGGAUCCCUAACCAUUAUGAAAUUUUAAUAUAUGUAUAAAUUUAUAUCCAUCAACAACUCAGUAAUAAAGUUAGAAUCUAAUUAAAUAAUUAAAAUAAAAUAAUUAUUAUUCUUAAAUAGAUUAAAAGAUUAUUUUAUUUUUAUAAAUUUUUAAGAAUAAAAAAUUAUAUUUACAAUAAUACCCCUAAAUCUAAUAAAAUAAAUAAAUCUCAAAAUUUAAAAUGUUAAUUUUUGAAAUUAUAAAUUGUAAUUUUUGUAUUUUUUUUUAAAUUUUUGUAAUCCUAUUUUUCUAGGAGAGUGUGCAUGACGUCCUUUGCUAGAGCAAAUCUUAACUGGAGCUUUUUUGGAGAGUGUGCAUCCCGACCUUUGCUUAAGCAAAUCUUAACCACGGCCUUAAAGAGAAGUAAAGAGUUUAGACAAUGCAAAUUAAAUUAGCAUUUAAAUCUUUCUUUCAAUUUUGAAAAAUUAAAAAAAUAUAAUUACAAAAAGUUAUCACUUAAAAUUUAUAAUUAAAAAAAUUAACAGUUUGAAUUUUAAGAUUUAUUUGUUUUAUUAAGUUUAGGGGCUUUUUAUAAUUAUAUUUUUUUUAUUUUUAAAAAUUUUAUUAGACAAUAAUUUUUUAAUUUAUUUAUGGGUAAAAUAAUCAUUUUACUUAAUUAUUUAACGAAUUCUAACUUUAUUAGUACGAAAGUGGUUGAUUAAUAUAAAUUAAAAAAUAUAAAAAAUCAAAAUUUUAUAGUGAUUAAAUAUAUAUAUAUAUAUAUAUGACAAGAAAAAAUAGUGUAAAAUACUCCCUAAAUUUUAAACAUCGCCAUCCCACCUACACCAGUUAUUUUGUUAUAAUAUUAUACUGUUACAUUUGUUUGAAUUUGACUGCUGCAUACAAUAUUGCGAAAAGAAAAGUGCUUUUUAAUAGUGACUUGCUUUACGCGGAUCAAUUUAUUCUUUACUUCUAUAAAUAAUGGAGUUAACCAAGACUUUCAGCAAACAUAUAAUUAUAUCAGAAAAAAUGGAAUUCUCGGUGAAAUCAAUAGCAUUCAGCAUUGUUAUUGUAACAGUGGUAACAUGGGCAUGCAAAAUUCUGAACUGGGCAUGGCUGAAGCCAAAGAAACUGGAGAAACAGCUAAGACGGCAAGGUUUUAGAGGCAAUUCAUACAGGUUUCUGUUUGGAGACGUGAAAGAACACGGCAUCUUAUCAAGGCAAGCAAAAUCCAAGCCCAUCAGUUUAGAUGAUGAUAUUGCUCCACGUGUCGUUCCACUCUAUGAUCAACGAGAAAAGCUUUAUGGUAAGUAUUUCAAUUCCUUUCAACUGUUAUUGUAAAAAAAAAAAAAAAUUCCUUUCAACUGUUCAAUUCCAUAAGAGUGGAGUUCACGAAUUUUGUCUUGGCACACCCUUUUUAAAAAAUAAGAUAAUUAUGAAUUAUAAAUAUAUUUUUUAAUUUAAAAAUUCUCAAAGAUAACAUAAUUACCCUCAUUCAUCACUUUCUUCCAAAAUUUCACUAUUACUAACUUUCUCUUUCUUAUAUAACAUAUUUCAAUCUUUUUAUCCUUUCUUAGUAAAUCAUGAACGUUCUUUCUUACCUACUGUUAUCAUAUUUGACUUUGUGUUUUAAAAAUUUUACCGAAAUUUAUUUUAUAGGCUUAAAGUCUUAUACAUUUAAACUAAUGCAAAAUAUCUAAUUUUAAUUCUAUAUGAUGGGUAUUGUUCUUUUCACUUUGCAUUAGAUUAUAAUAGGCCUUAAUUUGUUUGUUUAUGUAAGAAUUUCACUUAUUAAUUGCAAUAGUUAUUUCGGGUAAGCAAAAUUUUAGUUAGAGAAGAUGAAGAUGAAGAUGAGAGAGAAAGAUAAUAAUCAAAUAACAAAUCUACUGAAUAAUAUUUACAAAAUAAAAAUUUUAAUUAAAAGAAAAGGUGUAGUGAUGAAAUUAGUGGGUUCAAAUAUCCCAAUCAUAUCAUAAUCUGUAUCGGCAAGUGACCGUUAAAGCCCUACUCUGUUUAUUUGAGAAUUUAAUCAAGGGAAAAUCACCAUUUUUUCACCUUAAGAUGACAAAUUUUAAAAAACGAUUAUUCAAAUAUCCAAAAAAGACUUCAACAAACUUUUGAGGCACUAAAUGAUACAAUUUCACAAAAAUUUGUUUAGGGUUUUGUUUCCCUAAUCAACAGCUUCGAAAUAGUAUACUAUAAAGCUAAAAAUGGCACCUUUGGAAAUUUUGAGCCAAAAAAAAAAUAUUGAUAGAAUUCAAAAGUUAUACGUAUAUUUGGAAUUUUCACGAUUCUUAGGGUUGUAAAAAAUGGUAAUUUCUGUUUAGUCAAACAAUUUAUAGUGGAUUGAUCAAACUCCCGCUGUCUUCCAUGUUUGAAUGACCUAAAUAGAGAGUGAGGAAUCACAAUAAGUAAAUUUGACAACAGGACUGACAAAAAAUUGAUGCAGGUAAAAAUACUUAUUGGUGGAUCGGCCCCAUACCCAUGAUCAACAUCAUGGAUCCUGAUCAAAUAAAAGAGGUAUUCACCAAUAUCAAUGAUUUUCAGAAACCCAAAACAAAUCCACUUGGAAAGAUACUAACGACUGGACUAGCAAUUCGUGAGGGUGAGAAGUGGGCUAAACACAGAAAGAUAAUCAAUCCAGCAUUCCACCAAGAGAAGCUUAAGGUUACUUGUUCAUGUUUAUUUAGAUAUAUAUCUUUAUGUGUACUAACGGAAAAUUAGAUUCCAUAAUGCCAUCAUUUUCUUGCUUUUUUUACAGCUUAUGUUACCUGCGUUCUACCAGAGUUGUACAGAAAUAAUUAGCAAGUGGGAGAAGUUGAUGAUUGGUGAUCAAGGAUCAUGUGAAUUGGAUGUAUGGCCUUAUCUUGUAAAGUUGACGAGUGAUGUGAUUUCUCGAACGGCUUUUGGGAGCAACUAUGAAGAAGGAAUAAGGAUUUUCCAACUCCAAACAGAGCUAGCUGAUAUCGCCUUACAAGCUUUACAGUCGGUUUACAUUCCAGGAUGGAGGUGCACAAAAUAAUCUCAAGUUAAUUUGAAAACAUAUAUAUCCCAAGUUAUUUACUAACUCAUUAAUCAUAAAGUUGAAAUUUACCUAUGCUAACAAUAAGUACUUGUCUCCUAUUUCCUUAGUCUUUUUUAUUUUCAUUUUCAUAAUUUUUUUUAGACGUUAGCACUAUAUAGUGUUGUAAAUAGAUGAAUUUACAUAUUUUAUAAGGGUUUGCCUAUCUUACGUUUAACGUAAAGUACGCUCUCUUACACAGUUGAAAAGUGGGUCCUAGUGGGAUCCAUUGCUGUAAAGAGAGCUGUAACUUACAUUAAACGUAAGGUAGCAACUCCCAUUUUAUAAACAUACCGACAUUUCCACCUAAGAACAACAGUUUCUUGUUAAUCUCUUUUUAGUAAAUUUUACCGCUUAUAUAUAGGUAUGUCCCUACUAAGAGAAAUAGGAGAAUGAAGGAGCUUGACAAGGAAAUACGAGUUUCGCUGGCAGAUAUCAUCAGGAAAAGAGAGAUAGCAAUGAAAACAGGGGAAGCUGCAAAAGAUGACUUAUUAGGUUUACUCAUGGAAUCCAAUCUUAAAGAAAUUAAGGAACAUGGAAACAACAAACUUAAAGGGAUCAGCAGGGACGAUGUUAUCGAUGAGUGUAAGCUAUUUUACUUUGCUGGGCAAGAGACUACUUCAGUUUUGCUUCUUUGGACAAUGGUUUUGUUGAGCAAGCAUCAAGACUGGCAAGCACAUGCAAGAGAAGAGGUUUUGCAAGUCCUUGGUGAUAAGAAACCUGACUUCGAUGGAUUGAAUCGCCUCAAAAUCGUAAGUAUAUAUAAUUUUGGGAUUUCAUUGUAAUCAAUAUUUUCAUCAUACAAUUAAUCCCAAUAAUUCAAAUAAUGAGAAAUAUCGAUAACCAGAUAGUGUGAUAUAUAGU
rnacentral:lncRNA from 1 species